AUUGAACGCUGGCGGCAGGCCUAACACAUGCAAGUCGAGCGGAUGAAGGGAGCUUGCUCCUGGAUUCAGCGGCGGACGGGUGAGUAAUGCCUAGGACUCUGCCUGGUAGUGGGGGAUAACGUCCGGAAACGGGCGCUAAUACCGCAUACGUCCUGAGGGAGAAAGUGGGGGCUCUUCGGACCUCACGCUAUCAGAUGAGCCUAGGUCGGAUUAGCUAGUUGGUGGGGUAAAGGCCUACCAAGGCGACGAUCCGUAACUGGUCUGAGAGGAUGAUCAGUCACACUGGAACGGAGACACGGUCCAGACUCCUACGGGAGGCAGCAGUGGGGAAUAUUGGACAAUGGGCGAAAGCCUGAUCCAGCCAUGCCGCGUGUGUGAAGAAGGUCUUCGGAUUGUAAAGCACUUUAAGUUGGGAGGAAGGGCAGUAAGUUAAUACCUUGCUGUUUUGACGUUACCAACAGAAUAAGCACCGGCUAACUUCGUG
rnacentral:rRNA from 1 species